CUGCGAAAGCCGGAUUAAUACCGCAUACGCUCUGCGGAGGAAAGCGGGGGAUCCUUCGGGACCUCGCGCUACAGGGGCGGCCGAUGGCAGAUUAGCUAGUUGGUGGGGUAAAGGCCUACCAAGGCGACGAUCUGUAGCUGGUCUGAGAGGACGACCUGCCACACUGGGACUGAGACACGGCCCAGACUCCUACGGGAGGCAGCAGUGGGGAAUUUUGGACAAUGGGCGCAAGCCUGAUCCAGCAAUGCCGCGUGUGUGAAGAAGGCCUUCGGGUUGUAAAGCACUUUUGUCCGGAAAGAAAACCUCGUGGUUAAUACCCGUGGGGGAUGACGGUACCGGAAGAAUAAGCACCGGCUAACUACGUGCCAGCAGCCGCGGUAAUACGUAGGGUGCAAGCGUUAAUCGGAAUUACUGGGCGUAAAGCGUGCGCAGGCGGUUCGCUAAGACAGAUGUGAAAUCCCCGGGCUUAACCUGGGAACUGCAUUUGUGACUGGCGAGCUAGAGUAUGGCA
rnacentral:rRNA from 1 species